rnacentral:rRNA from 1 species
UACGAAGGGGGCUAGCGUUGCUCGGAAUGACUGGGCGUAAAGGGCGCGUAGGCGGUUUUCGCAGUCGGGCGUGAAAGUCCUGGGCUCAACCUGGGGGUGUCGCCCGAGACGCGGGGGCUGGAGUGCGGAAGAGGGUCGUGGAAUUCCCAGUGUAGAGGUGAAAUUCGUAGAUAUUGGGAAGAACACCGGUGGCGAAGGCGGCGACCUGGUCCGUGACUGACGCUGAGGCGCGAAAGCGUGGGGAG